rnacentral:rRNA from 1 species
GACGAACGCUGGCGGCAGGCCUAACACAUGCAAGUCGAGCGGAGCGGCGGACGCGUGAGGAUUGCCUAGGAAUCUGCCUGCUCGUGGGGGAUAACGUCCGGAAACGGGCGCUAAUACCGCAUACUAUCCCAUGAGCCUAGGUCGGACUAGCUAGGUGGUGGGGUAAAGGCCUACCAAGGCGACGACCCGUAACGGGUCUGAGAGGACGAUCAGUCACAUUGGAAAGGAGACCCGGUCAGGACGCCUACGGGAGGCAGAAGUGGGGAAUAUUGGACAAUGGGCGAAAGCCUGAUACAGCCAUGCCGGGUGUGUGAAGAAGGUCUUGGGAUUGUAAAGCACUUUAAGCUGGGAGGCGUUACCAGCAGAAUAAGCACCGGCUAACUUCGUGCCAGCAGCCGCGGUAAUAC